CAGAGCUGUAGCCGCUGGCCUGCGCCACAGCCACAGCAAUAGUAACGUGGGAUCCGAGCUGCAUCUGCAACCCACACCACUGCUUACGGCAACGCAGGAUCCUUAACCCACUGAGCGAGGCCAGGGAUAGAACCCACAACCUCAUGGUUCCUAGUCGGGUUUGUUAACCACUGAGCCACAGUAGGAACUCCUCAUCUCAUGUUUUCAUCGGUAGUUUAUACAGCUUCUGGUCAUUGUGAUCUGUCUGUUCUUUGAUUCACAAAUGCUUUAAUAUAUUUGUAACAAGUACACAUACCAUGUUUUAUAAAGUAAUGAAAUGCAAUAUGCAUAAUUAGAGUUCUAGAAAUAAUUCAGGUGAGUUUUAAUUCCUGAUCUUUCAUUUCUUAAUUUUUCCAUGUUAAUAGAGACCUAAAUUAUAUUUUGUACAUACUGAAAUUCAUAGAUAUUUUCUUAUAUUUAUAAAUUGCUAUGCAUAUAUAUAAUUGCUUUAUUAUUUGCUCAAACAGUACCAUGGUAUGUAUGAAAUCUCUAUUAAAUCUCUUUUUUUGGUCAUUUUUCUCCACUUGUAUGUGGCACACCCAGUCAAGUCUGGGAAAUGGGGGCUGGCGAGUGCACCUCCAGAGAUGUCAGCGUGAUCACUGUCGUUUGAGGCGUCUGCAAGGGAUGUGUGAUGGUGUGAUGAGAAUGAAAUCAAGGUAUUACAGUUAUUCUUUGCAGGGAGGAGCAGGGAGGGAAAAAAAAGCCAUCUUGUCCGCACCUGGAGUCUCCUCAUUUACUGUUACUGUAUUGGCUGGGUAUGAGUACCUCAAGCCCUACACACCCGACUGAGAACUUUCAUUUCUGUAACCCUUUUUACUGGAAAAUAGGAAAAUCUUCCCAGUCCCUUUUCAUCCCCGAACCAGCCCUUUACCCAGCCUGGACCAGCUUGUUGUCUAGGCUUCCCUGGGAAGGUCUGUGCUUUGGCUUGAUUCUCCCUCUACUGCAGGAAGAGACUGAGCUUGCCCAGGGGCCGGCUUGGGGGGAAGCCGCCCUCACCGCUUGCCUGCGCUUCUCUGCCCAGUGUGGCAAAGGCGCCCAUGGCUAGGGCCAAAACCAGUGGUAAUCGAGACAAGGUCACCGAGGCUACCUCGUCCACCCCUGAGUCUUAUCCCAGCCUCCAGUGCUGCGAAGAAUGUGGCUUGUCUGCCGACUUUGAUCCUCCACUGUGCUUCUGUGACAUGAACAAGGGAACCCUGAAUACAAAGUGAUUAGUAGAAGGUAGUUGUAAACACUGACUGCUACGUACAACCAGCUGCAGAAAUAAGGACUCUGUCAUGAAUAUUUCCUCCUCAUCUGUUAUGAAUACGCUGUGUUUGUGUUUACAUAUAUUAAGCAAAUAU
rnacentral:lncRNA from 1 species